AGCCCAUCCAGAUGUUGCCUCACACCCCCCCCCCCCCCCCCCCUGCUGCCGUCACAGUGGACCGUUCCUACUGGUAGGUGGAUCCACCCUAUCGCAACACUAGGAUGGACUCUCCCACUUGUGAUGUCACAACAAUCGGUUAAUAACAGCUGGUACGUUUCAUAGGAGGGUUGUUCAUACAUUUUAUUUCAUUUGGGCCAAGGUUUAACAAAAUAACACAUUGAUAAAAUCGUCCAAGGAUAAAAAUAAGUGGCACCCGAAAUUUACCUUUAAACAGAAUUAACCGCUGGAUUCACACUGAAUCCGAUACACGUAAUACACAUUUGGCAACACAUUUAGAUGAAGACGCAUCAUCCAAACUGAGGCUAGUCAGAGGAGCUGAAAAUAGUGUCAUGUCAAACUGUUUUUCGUUACCAGGUUUUCACCCAUGUGCUUAGAGUUGAGAAUAUUAUGGGAUAGCAUGAUGUGCGUCUGAUUGUCCAUGAUGACAGCUAACGAUCUAUGGUGUUAUACCGAGGGUUGAGGUCAGGGUUCAUCUGUUAAUUAACCUCCGAGUGUGAAGAGUUAAUGUGGGUCUGCUGGCUUAGAAAUCCACAUUAAAAAUAACUAUUAAACCAUAGCAGAACAAACUGUCGUACGCCCACAUCAUUCUCAUGUACCCCAACACUUUAAAAAGGCAGUUCAUGAUUCUUCAAGUAGCGAAUUAAAAAACGCGUAUGUUGAUGUAUCAAAAAUAACCACCAGCUGUUGGACACAUGGUGAGCACCUCAGGUACACCUCAGGUACACCUCGGGUACACCUCGGGUACACCUCCCCUUGUCCUGGUCCCUUCAGUCCGGUACUCAGUUCAAUCCCCACACAAACGCCUCCUUUUACGUUUGACACUUUAGCAGCUCGGCUGCCUUGCCCAAAGGUCCCGGCGGGGGUUUAAACCCCGCUCUGCGAGUGGAGGAGGAGGAGGCCGGGAGGAGAGCUCGUCCACCCAGGGACCUUCUGCACCAGAGGCGUCGAUGUGUGGGAGCCCAGGCCGGUCAGAUCAAGGUCCGCCUGCUUCAUCCAAACAACUCACAGCUUUUUGUACUUGAAAACCAAACAGGAGGAGUGGACUAUCUGAUCACCUCGAUAAGGGACAACGCUGCGUGAGAUGCGGGGUUGGCAGUAGGGAGCGUCUCGGACCAAAGUCCACUGCAGACGCGGCGCGUGAGAAGGUGGAGCAGCCCGAACAUGAGAUAACCUCUCCGACACAGGUCCACACCGUCCAAUCAGGUAAUGGCAAGCCUUCCAGCCGAACGAAUACAGCAACACCCAAAAAAACUGGUGGCAGCGUCAACGCCGCAAUUGCCGGAAGCCUACGACCGUCGAGACUGUUUUGGGAAAAAUUCUACGACGCCCACGGAAACCGGCGUUCUGGAACACCCACUGGAAGCUUCUUCAGUUGUUCAACAUUCUAGAACGCCUCGGAGACACAAUUCAGGCGCUGUUGGAAAAAUGGUUUGUGUCGUCACAAGACAUCCACAACUGCUGGGUUGGAUCAUUUGGAGAACGCUGAGUGUACUGCAAAGGUUAUUUCUGCACAGAGUAAAAAAUAUAUAUAGAUGAGCACGAAGUAUUAAACAAGUAUUAAACACAA